UGAGGAAUAUUGGUCAAUGGACGCAAGUCUGAACCAGCCAUGCCGCGUGCAGGAAGACGGCUCUAUGAGUUGUAAACUGCUUUUGUACGAGGGUAAAUCCCGAUACGUGUAUCGGGUUGAAAGUAUCGUACGAAUAAGGAUCGGCUAACUCCGUGCCAGCAGCCGCGGUAAUACGGAGGAUUCAAGCGUUAUCCGGAUUUAUUGGGUUUAAAGGGUGCGUAGGCGGUUCGAUAAGUUAGAGGUGAAAUCCCGGGGCUCAACUCCGGCAUUGCCUCUGAUACUGUCGGGCUAGAGUUUAGUUGCGGUAGGCGGAAUGUAUGGUGUAGCGGUGAAAUGCAUAGAGAUCAUACAGAACACCGAUUGCGAAGGCAGCUUACCAAACUACGACUGACGUUGAGGCACGAAAGCGUGGGGAGCAAACAGG
rnacentral:rRNA from 1 species